GAUGAAGAACGUAGUGAAAUGCGAAAAGUAGUGUGAAUUGCAGAAUUCAGUGAAUCAUCGAAUCUUUGAACGCACAUUGCGCCCGCCAGCAUUCUGGCGGGCAUGCCUGUUCGAGCGUCAUUUCAACCCUCGCAGCCCAUCUGGGCAGCGGUGUUGGGGACCGGCACCACCGGCGAAGCCCUUAGGGGCCCAGCCGGCGCCGCCCCCGAAAUACAGUGGCGGUCUCGCUGCAGCCUCCCUUGCGUAGUAGCACACCUCGCACCGGAGCGCAGCGCGGCCACGCCGUAAAACCCCCGACUUUCUGAGUUUGACCUCGAAUCAGGUAGGAAUACCCGCUGAACUUAAGCAUAUCAAUAAGCGGAGGA
rnacentral:misc_RNA from 1 species